rnacentral:rRNA from 1 species
CGGAGGAUCCAAGCGUUAUCCGGAAUCAUUGGGUUUAAAGGGUCCGUAGGCGGUUUAGUAAGUCAGUGGUGAAAGCCCAUCGCUCAACGGUGGAACGGCCAUUGAUACUGCUAGACUUGAAUUAUUUGGAAGUAACUAGAAUAUGUAGUGUAGCGGUGAAAUGCUUAGAGAUUACAUGGAAUACCAAUUGCGAAGGCAGGUUACUACUAAUGGAUUGACGCUGAUGGACGAAAGCGUGGGUAGCGAACAGGAUUAGAUACCCUGGUAGUCCACGCCGUAAACGAUGGAUACUAGCUGUUGGGAGCGAUCUCAGUGGCUAAGCGAAAGUGAUAAGUAUCCCACCUGGGGAGUACGUUCGCAAGAAUG